rnacentral:rRNA from 1 species
GACGAACGCUGGCGGCGUGCUUAACACAUGCAAGUCGAACGAAGUGGCGAACGGGUGAGUAACGCGUAAUCAACCUGCCCUUCAGAGGGGGACAACAGUUGGAAACGACGGCAAAUACAGCAUACUGAAGGAGGGGUUUGCGUCUGAUUUGCUAGUUGGAGGGGUAACGGCCCACCAAGGCGAUGAUCAGUCGCCGGUCUGGGUGUGUGAACAGCCCCAUUGGGACUGAGACACGGCCCAGACUCCUACGGGAGGCAGCAGUGGGGAAUCUUCCGCAAUGGACGAAAGUCUGACGGAGCACCGCCGCGUGAGUGAUGACGGCCUUCGGGUUGUAAAGCUCUGUUAAUCGGGACGCGGUACCGGAAUAGAAAGCCACGGCUAACUACGUGCCAGCAGCCGCGGUAAUUC